rnacentral:rRNA from 1 species
UACGUAGGGGACAAGCGUUGUCCGGAUUUACUGGGCGUAAAGAGCGCGCAGGCGGUCGAUCAAGUCGAGUGUGAAAGCCCCCGGCUCAACUGGGGAGGGUCAUUCGAUACUGAUCGACUCGAAGGCAGGAGAGGGUAGUGGAAUUCCCGGUGUAGUGGUGAAAUGCGUAGAUAUCGGGAGGAACACCAGUGGCGAAGGCGACUACCUGGCCUGUUCUUGACGCUGAGGCGCGAAAGCUAGGGGUGCAAACGGG